AGGAGCCGUGUGAGACGAAAGUUUCAUGCACGGUUCUGAAGGAGAGGUGCUCCCCGUAAUAGGGGACAUCGACUCUAAC
rnacentral:ncRNA from 2 species